rnacentral:rRNA from 1 species
GAUGAACGCUGGCGGCGUGCCUAAUACAUGCAAGUCGAGCGAACAGAUGAGGAGCUUGCUCCUCUGACGUUAGCGGCGGACGGGUUAGUAACACGUGGAUAACCUACCUAUAAGACUGGGAUAACUUCGGGAAACCGGAGCUAAUACCGGAUAAUAUAUUGAACCGCAUGGUUCAAUAGUGAAAGACGGUUUUGCUGUCACUUAUAGAUGGAUCCGCGCCGCAUUAGCUAGUUGGUAAGGUAACGGCUUACCAAGGCAACGAUGCGUAGCCGACCUGAGAGGGCGAUCGGCCACACUGGAACUGAGACACGGUCCAGACUCCUACGGGAGGCAGCAGUAGGGAAUCUUCCGCAAUGGGCGAAAGCCUGACGGAGCAACGCCGCGUGAGUGAUGAAGGUCUUCGGAUCGUAAAACUCUGUUAUUAGGGAAGAACAAAUGUGUAAGUAACUAUGCACGUCUUGACGGUACCUAAUCAGAAAGCCACGGCUAACUACGUG